CCUACGGGAGGCAGCAGUGAGGAAUAUUGGUCAAUGGUCGGGAGACUGAACCAGCCAAGCCGCGUGAGGGAUGAAGGUACAGAGUAUCGUAAACCUCUUUUGUCAGGGAACAAAGGCGGGGACGUGUCCCCGGAUGAGUGUACCUGAAGAAAAAGCAUCGGCUAACUCCGUGCCAGCAGCCGCGGUAAUCCGGAGGAUGCGAGCGUUAUCCGGAUUUAUUGGGUUUAAAGGGUGCGCAGGCGGUCUGUUAAGUCAGCGGUCAAAGCCCGGGGCUCAACCCCGGCCCGCCGUUGAAACUGGCAGGCUCGAGUGGGAGAGAAGUAUGCGGAAUGCGCGGUGUAGCGGUGAAAUGCAUAGAUAUCGCGCAGAACUCCGAUUGCGAAGGCAGCAUGCCGGCUCCACACUGACGCUGAGGCACGAAAGCGUGGGUAUCGAACAGGAUUAGAUACCCCGGUAGUC
rnacentral:rRNA from 1 species